rnacentral:rRNA from 1 species
AGUGAACGCUGGCGGCAGGCCUAAUACAUGCAAGUCGAACGGCAGCACAGCAGAGCUUGCUCUGUGGGUGGCGAGUGGCGGACGGGUGAGGAAUACAUGGGAAUCUGCCCAGUCGUGGGGGAUAACGUAGGGAAACUUACGCUAAUACCGCAUGCGCCCUUCGGGGAAAGCCGGGGACCUUCGGGCCUGGCGCGAUUGGAUGAGCCCAUGUCGGAUUAGCUAGUUGGCGGGGUAAUGGCCCACCAAGGCGACGAUCCGUAGCUGGUCUGAGAGGAUGAUCAGCCACACUGGAACUGAGACACGGUCCAGACUCCUACGGGAGGCAGCAGUAGGGAAUAUUGGGACAAAUGGGCGCAAAGCCCUGAUCCAGCCAUGCCGCGUGAGUGAAGAAGGCCCUCGGGUUGUAAAGCUCUUUUGUUCCGGAAAGAAAAGACGCCGGGUUAAUACCCUAGUGUCCUGACGGUACCGGAAGAAU